rnacentral:rRNA from 1 species
CAGAGGGGGCAAGCGUUAUUCGGAAUUAUUGGGCGUAAAGGGCGCGUAGGCGGCUUUGCAAGUGACGGGUGAAAUCCCUCGGCUUAACCGAGGAACUGCCUGUCAAACUGCAUGGCUUGAGACCGGGAGAGGUGAGUGGAAUUCCCAGUGUAGCGGUGAAAUGCGUAGAUAUUGGGAGGAACACCAGUGGCGAAGGCGGCUCACUGGACCGGUACUGACGCUGAGGCGCGAAAGCGUGGGUAGCAAACAGGAUUAGAUACCCUGGUAGUCCACGCCGUAAACGAUGAGUGCUUGGUGUAGCGGGUAUCGACCCCUGCUGUGCCGAAGUCAACACAUUAAGCACUCCGCCUGGGGAGUACGGUCGCAAGGCUG